rnacentral:tRNA from 57 species
GCGCCGUUAGCUCAGUUGGUAGAGCAGCUGACUCUUAAUCAGCGGGUCCGGGGUUCGAAACCCUGACGGCGCAC